UUAUGACCAAAACUUAAAUGGUGUAAAUUCGGGCAAAAUGUAAAAUGUGGGUGUCUAACUACAGUUUUAGUACAUAUUUGUAUUUAUAAAUCUACUUUAAAUAAUAACUUGUUUAUGUUUUAUAAGUAGCAACUGAACCCAAAACCUUCUAAUUACUUUAAUGAUGAUUAUUCAUUUUAUAAAUGCUUUCAUUUUCAUGUAUAACACUAAAACAUAUAAAAACAAUAUUAACUAAUCCCAAAGAGCCUUAUCACACACUAAAACACAUACUUCAACUCAACCCUAACCUAAAACGAAACCUCACAGAAAUUGAAAUCCAACCUUCGCUAAUACCUAUCUUAGAAAAUCGAUCUUGAGAGAAAUUGAAAACGAAACUUCAUAAAAUCUUGAGAGAAAUUGAAAACGAAACCGCAGAGAAUCGCUCUUGAGCAAGGUCUCAUGAAUCUCGUCAUUUCCUCUUUCAACUCAGAGAAUUACCCUAACUCUAUAUUCUAAUUCUCUCACAACGAUCUGAACUCUCGCAAUUGCAACCACCGAUCGAAUCUUCGAACCCUAGCUUGUAUUUCCCCCUUUCAACUCAGUUAAACUUGUGGGAUUUUAAUCAGUUGUUAGGAAAACGCUUACAAAUAGGAAGGGCGCAGUUAGGUUAGUUCUUAAUGGCUGCUACAUCUGGGAUAGCUGAAGAGGAAACACAAGUGUCUUCUAGUGACGAGAUCGAUCCAAGGCUGCUACAUCAUGUGAUUUCACACAAAUGUUUGAUGCUCUGUCUUAUCAUGCUCAUAUUGCUUUUGUUCUUGUGUUUCUAUUUGUAUUUGCUUAUGCAAGCAAGGUCCUUAAUUUCCAGAAGAGGUAGUAAAUAAUAGAAAAAUAAAAACAGAAAGAACCAAUACAAAUGAAGAACAAAGGAAAGAGAAAAAAAUUUAACUUCAAGGUUUCUGUAUCAUAAAUAACUAGAAUAAACAUAGAAUUCUGAAUUCCUAAAAUAUGUUUUCUGUCAAUCAUCGCCUUUGCAGGAUCUCAGCAAACCUUACCUUUUAUACGGCUAAAUCUACGAUUUCAGUUCACUUCGCUUGAUGCAGAAGCACGACUCAAGGAUAAGAGGAUUUGAUGAAGUGUUUGGUUCUUAUUGAGAAGAAUGAGAGUUGCAGUGGUUGGUGCUGGGAUUAGUGGUUUGGUUUCAGCUUAUGUAUUGGCCAAAGCUGGAGUGAAUGUGGUUCUCUAUGAGAAGGAAGAUUACUUGGGAGGUCAUGCAAAAACUGUUAAUGCUGGUGGUGUUGAUUUGGACCUUAGUUUCAUGGUCUUCAAUAGGGUAAUAAUCUAAUUCAUUUUCAUCACAUUUCUAAUUACUUGUUCUUCUUGUUAAUUAAAUGCUCUACUACUUCAAUUCUUCAUAAUUCAUUUUGGUUUUGCUUAGUGAAGAUUGAACUAAAAAUAAUAAUCUUAGCUUUAACAUUAUCCAAAACAGUGAAAAGGGAAGUACUUUUUCAUCUUGAUAUAUAAGUUGUGAAAAGAGUUAUUAUUAUUUUAAUAGUUCUAUUUUGUUCUCUUGUUUAAGUAGGUGUUGAUUAACACUUAACAUGAGAAUUAGACAAGUUUUGAUUCGGUUUUCAUUAGUGGCAGGUAGCAUUAACAGAAUAAGUUUUAGGAUAUAUAACCUAAUUCCCUAAUAAAAAAAGAAAUUAAAAAGUGUAGCUUUUUGCCAAAAUUAUGUUAGCUCUUCUUCUAAACACUAUAUACCAAAUUAAAAUUAUGAUUUUAUUAAGAUAUUUUUUGGACCAAUAAGAACCAUAGAAUUUAAAUCCAUAGCAAAAGUUGGCAUGUGGGCCCCACCAGUGGUCCUAACGUGACAGUUGCUUCAUGCUAAAUGUAGCAUUCUCUGGCUAAAAUAUUUUGGUUAAGAUGAUGUUACUAAGGCAGUGAGAGCAUGAAUUGUUGCUUUUUUUUUACUAUCUAGCUUAGAUAUAUGGCAGGUUGUUAUUGAUUCAUAACCUUUGACAGUGGCUGUACUUGCAGCUUUGUUAUUUGGUGAGUCCAUUGGAAUUAUCCGUGAAUGUUUUGCGCGACCAUUAUUGUCUCAAAUUUCGUUAUCUCCGCAAUAUUUUCUGUUCAUUAUUUUUAUAUACAUUUUCAGUAAAAACUUGACACAGUUUGAAGAAGAGAGUGAAGUUGAAGAAGCUUCUGAGGAAUGAUAAUGAAGCUGAUUCUCAUAAUAACGUUUUCUUUUGUUGUCUCAGUGAUUAGAUCUGAGACUGAGACUGAGAGUUUUUCACCUCUGUAUAUGUUGGAAAACGAUGUCUUUUCAGCUCAAGUGUCUUCUUCUCAACCUGAUCAAUCUCUCAUGGUUCCACUCACUCUUAUUCAAGGAGCUGAUUCUGAAGGAGCAGGUUUUUUCUUCUUCUCUCAAAUGAUUUCACCCUCAUUAUGCUAUCAUGUUUCUAGAAUGUUAGUAAUAGUAUUAGUUAUUGCGUAAGUAACAUGAUUAGGGUCUGUUGGAACUGAAUUCACUCUUUUGAGCUUAUAUUUUACAUGAUCAUAAGCUGUUUUCAGCUUAUUUUCAAACAAGAUAUAAGCUACUUCAUGACAAAGAAAUGUGAAGAGACCAUACCAUACCUUACCACUUGUGGUUCUAAUACAUUCCCUCACACUAUUCACACUUGUGAUGUUUUACUAUUUCUAUAUAAGAAUCAUUAUAUGCUCUUGUUCUCUUCCUCAUAUAUGAAUAGUACUACAACGUUUGAGUUUUCUUUAUAGUUAUAAACUAUAACCUUUCUUUCUAGAUCUCUUCCUUGAAGCCAUGGAGACAAGAAGCUCAGAGAGAAAAAGAACUUGGAGGCAGAAAGAGGUGGUGAACAAUCAUGAAGAGAUGGAACAGGAUGAUGAAGAUGGAAUGGAUUUUGAAGAGGAGGAGGAAGGUAGAAAGAAGACGGUAGUAACAGAUCUGUAUAGUAAGAGUACAAGGUCCAAAGGUGGAGGGUCGAAUAUUCCACCUUGUUGUCAAGUGGAGAAUUGUGAUGCUGAUCUAAGUGAAGCUAAGCAGUACCAUCGGAGACAUAAGGUGUGUGAGUAUCAUGCUAAGGCACCUGCCGUACACAUUGCAGAGAUGCAGCAAAGGUUUUGUUAGCAAUGUAGCAGGUUCAUAACCCUAAUCUCUUUUAACUAAAUCUUGAGUUUUCUGAAUUUUUUUUAUCAGUUGGAUCAAUCAUUGUUGGUUCUAUUUGAAAUCUUUUUCUAUUUUUGACAAGUUUAAAUCUUUAUUAUGUAUGGUACUUGUUUUUUGGGCUGUGUAUGAAGACAAUUUUGAUGUUCAUCUUAUGACAUCAUACUAAUCUAUACAAAUGUUUAUGUUUCCAAUUCAUCACACCAAAAUUUGUUUAUAAUUAUUUGUCGGAAUGAAGGCCGAGGAGAGUGGCAAUUACUGGACUCAAGAGAGCUUUGACUGCCACUCAAUUAACUAAUCUUUUUAGUUUCAAUGCACACAAAUAUAUAGGUGAAUUGAAUCUCCAUUUUAUUUUUAUAUUAUGAUUACAGUCACAUUAUAAAAAUAUUUUAGAUUUUUAUAAUGUUUCAAAAGUUUAUAUUUUUUUUAAUUUGAGAUAGAAAUUACCUGCGGAUUUAGUUU